CACUUCUUCUCAAUAUUUUGAUUUUUCUUUUUCUGGGUUUGCUAAUGUUUUGUUGAUUGUGUAUGUGUUCUUUUUUCUUUUCUUUUUUUUGCUUAAUCCUCUUUGAAUUAUUGUAUUUUUAUUUUUAUUUUUUAAUCAAAUAAUAACUGAUGCUGGAACCAAUCUCUGAAUUUCAUUCACAACAUGCAUUUGAUUUUCCUUGUUUGACCAUAAUUUAAUCCUUGUGUCCAUAAACACAAAAUCGAGAAGAAUUGCCUGAAGGCAUGAGUUUAUUGUGGUUACUUGAUUCUUUUAUUUAUUAUUUUGGUAGGUGUCCCAACUCCGGUUUGAUUAGGUUUAACUGUGCAAAAUUAUAAUUUUUUUUGGCUUGACAAACACUUGGAACCCCAUGCUUGUCGAGUUUGCCUCCCAUAUAGUGUUUGUAUUAAGUUUCAGUUAGAUAAGAGAUGAUUUUGAUAGCUAGCUUUAACUUUCCAAUGUUGAAACUGUGUCUUCUGAAAGCUCUCUUGUGUGUAUAGGUUGAUGUGAAUAUGCCUACCACCAUUUAAAUUAUGUCCUUGUUAAGCCGCAUGACAGUUCUCCAUAGCAGAAAAUUGAUAGUUUGAAUGGCAUGAUGGUAGAGUGUCGGUGAGCUACAAAUCGACAAUAGAGGAUGGUAGGGACCACAGAGUGAUGACCGUUAGAAAUAGAUAUAUGGCAGUGUUGAGAUCGCCAGAGAAAUUCUUCCAUCAUUCAAGUUGAAAGGAGAUAGGAGAUUAUCUCACAUUGUUGACAAUCUAGCUAUCUAGAAAGGCUGACAAUGGGAUUGGUCAUUUUGUUGCAAAAGAAAUUUUUAAGCGGCACUCUUGCCACGUAUCUCAUUGGCAUCUUUGGGCAUUGAAGAUCUCGGUUCUAGAUUGGUUUGUGAAAGAGGUAGUAAAAUUUUUAGGCAUUUGAAGCCUUUUUUUUAGGCAGACUUGUUCUUUAAUUAUUGGAUUUUGGCAUGAAUGGUGCACCAUUAGAUUUCAACGACAACAUUAGCUUGCCAUAUCAAUAGUUAUUUUCAGUUGGCAAUAUGCUCUUUGCAGGUACAAGUGCAAGAUUGUUUGUGACACCAUAUAAUAACAAUGUUCACUGCCUUCAAUAAGAUAUUUACACCUCCCGGACUGGAGCAUGCAUGAUUGCCUUCUGAUAGAGGUGUCAGUCGCUGCCACUGCAAUUCAUCAUCCUUGGCCACCAAAAACAAAAACAAAUCCGGUGAAGUUCAUGAUUACUUGAAGAGCCUUUGUCCAAGCUUGAAUGUUACACGAGGUGAAUACGAUGAGGAUUCCCGCUAUCCAGAGACCAAAACACUUACCAUUGGACAAUUUAAACUUGGGUUAUGCCAUGGUCAUCAGUAUAUAGUGAAAGCUUGAGGGGUCAUUGCUUGGUGCAAUAUCAAAAUGCUCGAAUUAUCAAGAGGGAGAACAUGGUUUCGAGAUUCAGAAUAACCAAUUCCAAAUAAUACUUGGUGUAGGUCUACAUCCAGCGAACUCCUCCCAUCACUCUGAUAUCACUCUGAUUGGUAGGACUGACGCCUUUAUUUAUACCAAAAAUCAAAUUUUAGCAAGGAGGCAUCUUAUGAAGUUGUUAACUGAUUAUCCUACUUGUUCCAAGCACAGUGGUAUUAUGAAUUUUCUAUUGCCAGUUCCCGGAUCUACCAUUUUCUUAUUUCUCGAAGUACCAAUGGUAUCUACAUCAUUACAAAAUGAAUCGUCACUUGAUCGUUCCAUGGGGAGACCUGGACUCUCUAGCGAUGCUCCAGAGACAGUUAGAUGUGGGCAUCCUUAUUAGCGGCCACACCCAUCAGUUAAAGGCCUACAAACAUGAGGGUGGCGUUGUCAUAAAUCCUGGGUCUGCC